AAAAACUUAGAUUACCAUGUCACUAAAAUGUUGUCACAAUUUAACAUUAAAUAUACUCUUUCUGUUUCAUAAUAAAUGUUAUUUUAACCUUUUUUUUGUUACGAAAAGUGUCAUUUUAUAAUUUUAAUACAAAUUAUACUUAUUUUUUGCUGAAAAUUAAUGGAAAACUGCAUUGAUUUUAUAAAUAAUUUUAUUUAUCUCAAAUCUUAUUGGUCAGAGAGGUAUAACUAAUAUCAACUUACAUAUAUUUCUACUAUUUUUUUAAUCUAUGUGAAAAUGUCAAAUGACAUUUAUAUAGAAACGGAAAGAGUAUAAAAAAAUAAAAAAUAAAAAUAAAUCAGGGCUUGUAACUUGUUGGUGAUUAAGUUGAAGGCAAAAACCCAAUACGACCACCAUUUCGACAUCGUCAGAAACAAGAUACCGAUAUGUGGUAAUACGUGACAGUCAGGACUACUUCUGUAGAGCCAUGAUACCUCUAUUUAAUUAAAAAAAGUAUAUAAAAAAUAUCUAAACCCUUAUUAUAAAAUAAAAUAAUAUAUAUGAGCCUUUUAUAUCAUUAAAACGUACUGUGAACUGGUGCACUGCUUGCCAUCGUAACUGAUUUAUGCAAGUUAUGAUCAUUAAAUGGAAAUAAAUUGUCAUAUUAAUUACCUUUCAAGACUAUUGGCCAAGAUCUUAAUCAAGACUUUGACUAAAGCAAAUGGAUUAGAUUUUCAUAGAUUUUUGUGAUAAUGAGUCUUCAUUUAGCUGGUGUUUCAAAAAAAGUGUUUCGAAAAAAAGAGUCUUCAUUUAGCUGUGAUGAUGAUUAUGACUUUAACUAAGAGGAGUUACUUUGACCAAGAGGAGUUGCUUUAAAAUAAAAAAUUUAUUGUUUUCCAUAAUUCCAAAUAUCUUCAGUUCCUUGGUAAAACUAGAUAUAUGUCAAAUAAUUAUCUCGUGUCUCUCCGGUGUUGACGAAACUGGAAUUGGGGUUUUCAGCAAUAUGGAUGAUUUUCUUAUGCAUGUGUUAUAGCCUUAUGAUAAGCUAUAUCCGGGGCAUCGUCGAAGCAGCUGAGACAUUAAAAGGUGUUGAAGAUUUGGACAUAGAGCAAGAACGUAAGAUUAUUAACAGGCCUGCUGUUAAAAUCAUCAAGGUUCAUCAUUAUCAUCUCACUCAUCAUAAUUAUAGAUAUGUUACAAUUUCUAGAUACAAGGACUUUAGGAUUAUCUUUAUAUAUAUAUAUAUAUAUUAGGCUUUGCUUCUCUCCCUCCUAUGCCACAUGGGAUGCCAGCGCACAAAUUUUUUCUCCCAGCGGCCGACGUGUGUACCUGUUUAUACUGAAACGCGGAGUGUUGGAUCUCAUCUAUUGGGCCUUGCUUCGCGAAAUGGUUUUGGGCUAGGGACCACAACGACUUGCCGGAACCCUAGCACUGCGAUGAAGAUCACAUUUUAUUUCUCCGUAUCGAUUCGAUCGGAUAGACGGAAGCGAUGACGUUCCAGAUCCGUAACGGGAGCAUUAUGAUUCUUUGAGUUUUAUAAAAAUAGAUGUCGUUUCUUUACGAUCAGUGCUUUACAGUUUUAUGGUAGCGAUCUUUUGAGCUUUCUUCUUACCAUGGUAUGUCAACACCCACUUCUGGUACUUUUUCUGCAACCACCGUAGAGAUUCCAAAGCGAGCUUCUAUUUAUGUAAAGGAGGUGCCGACUAAAUCUCCAACGAAAAGCACCUCCGUGUCUGAUAAUGGAGGAGACGAGACUGAUUUCCCAAUCACCACGACGGAAAUCAUUGUUUCAAGAUGCUCAGUGAGUUAAUGAAAAUUGCGAUCUGAAACAAUUCGAAAAGAAGGCAAAACAGAGUGGGAUUCAGUAAUAGUUGCUGAUGCAAAGAGGAGAAAGUGGCUUCAAAAAAAAGAAAAGGAAGCAUAGAACAGUUGGCGGCGUCACAUAGAAAAAGAGUAGGUGAAUGGAGCAUGUGCUGGGAUCGUUCGGCACCAGCGCCAGUUUCGCUCUUCUUUUCGACCAAAUCAUAUUUAACAGGUCAAUUAGAUUUGUGAGGCUACAUGGUAUUCACUGUACAUUGGCAGGGAAAAUGCCUACGUAAGGUUCAGUUGUAACGCUGGUGGUGCUACGGGGAUGAACAUGGUAUCCAAAGGUAUGCAUAAUGUUCUUGAUUUAUUCACUGAUGCUUUAGCUGACAUGAACGUGAUCAAAAUCUCUGGUGAAUUCCUUUUAUAUGUUAUUGGUUUGAUUUGAGAAAAAAGAACUUCCUUUUAACUCAGUUGCAUCUUGAGACUUAAAAACUCAUUUAUUGGUCAGUACUUCUUCUCAGACAGGAAACUGCUGUAAACUGGACCGACAGAAAUGACAAAUCAUUAAUUACCGUUUCGUUUGUAUAUUUUAUUUCGGUCUGUUCAUGUAUUACAGCCGACACACAUGCCAACCACCGUCCAACGUUCACCUCAUUCAAACAUAUCUGAUAAAGGUAUGCUAUGUCCCGUGGAAAUCAUUAUUUUAAUCUUCUCAUUAACUUAUAAAAAACUCUGAAAGUAUCCUUCAAAGAUUCAACACCAGUCUUGACAAUUCUUGGUCCCUAGCUAUUGAAUGUCUUAUUCCUUAAAACAUACCCCAUCAAAGGUUCUGAUUUCGUUCUUUACGCUCUGUCUAAUGAUCAAAAUAUUUUUAAUACAAUCUGAUUCAAUCAAUUAUUCUACUUGCAAAAUUCUUCUCAUAGGUGUUUUGAUGAUUUUAGCAUUUAGUUGUUUAGUUUAUUUGUUUAAACUUGGCAAUAGCUUCUUCUUCUGCUUUCAUAAGAUAAUGCUAUGACCGUAUGUGAUUUAUUUUUGUUCUUGCGUUCUUUUCCGUGUGACCAUAAGAUGAAGGGAAAUUGAAUUUAAAGCUUGAGCUUGAUUUUGAGUACGAAUCAGACACUCUCACACUUAUGUGCAAGGUCUUGGUCAAGAUUUCAGUGGGAGAGGAAUCGCAAAGGAGGUAAAGAAUUUGAAGUUUGGCAUUAUAAUAUAGGAAGAUGCAAAUGAUCUUUCUGAUGUUGUUCUCUCACUUCUCUUAAAAUGUCAGCCGGAUGAUUUUGUGUGUUUGAUGAAUAUUGUAUGAUGAUAACAUUUACUUGGGAUAAUAUUUUUUCCUUCGUCCC